CCCCUAGAUGUUCUGGGCCGCACGCGCGCUACACUGAACAGUUCAACAAGUCUUAACCUUGGCCGAUAGGUCUGGGUAAUCUUUGAACGCUGUUCGUGAUUGGGAUAGACCUUUGCAAUUAUGGGUCUUCAACGAGGAAUUCCUAGUAAACGCAAGUCAUCAGCUUGCAUUGAUUACGUCCCUGCCCUUUGUACACACCGCCCGUCGCACCUACCGAUUGAAUGGUCCGGUGAAAUCUCGGGACGGCGGCUCGGUCGCUUGCGUCCGACUGCUGAAACUUGAUUAAACCAUAUCAUUUAGAGGAGGGUGAAGUCGUAACA
rnacentral:rRNA from 1 species